rnacentral:rRNA from 1 species
AAGAAUUUAAAGGUCGAACAGACCUACAAAUUGAGCUACUGCACCCUAUUGUCAUCUUAAUCCAACAUCGAGGUCGCAACCCUUCCCUUAAAUUUGAACUCUGAGGGAAGAUUACGCUGUUAUCCCUAAGGUAACUUAUUCUAAUGAUCAAAAAUUUUGGAUCCAAUAAACAUAUAAUUAAUGAAAAUAUAAUAAUAAAAGUUAAAUAUAUAUUUCUUGUCACCCCAACAAAACAUUUUUUAAAGUUAAUUAAAAGUAUUAAUCUAAAUUAAUAUAACAAAACAUUAAAUGUAAAGCUCUAUAGGGUCUUCUCGUCCUACAAAAAAAUUUAAGCCUUUUAACUUAAAAGUUAAAUUCAAAUUUAUAACUGAGACAGCUAAUUUUUCGUUAAACCUUUCAUUCCAGCCUCCUAUUAAAAGACUAAUGAUUAUGCUACCUUUGCACGGUCAAUAUACCGCGGCCGUUAAAUUAAAAUCACCGGGCAGGCCAAACCUCAAAU